AAGUUCUCCAUUAUUUUGAUGCUGUUUCUGGCACAUGAACAUUACAGUCCAUCACGACAUGACUAUUUCCUCUGUGUCGCUCCGAACACGGUCACUGACGCCUGAGGUAGUAAAACUCACCCCUUAAAUUACUCUUGUGACGCUUUUCACGAAGCAAUGGUACCAUUCUUUACGUUCUUAGGCGAAGUAAAAGGUGAGCUGCCUUUUUUGUAAACAAAAUGUCCUUCCGUUUCUACAUUCCUACAAGAAUUUCUAAAGGCAGAUUGUUCAGAUUCUUUAUUGUGUUAAUGUCAUUUAUUUGUAAGAGGACAGAGGUACUUCUCAUAUUUUGUUUUAAAGCUUUUCAAAUGGAAAAGGUAAGUGAUAGCAUAUCAUGAGAAGCAAA